rnacentral:rRNA from 1 species
GAACACCAAUGGCGAAGGCAGGUCUCUGGGCCGUUACUGACGCUGAGGAGCGAAAGCGUGGGGAGCGAACAGGAUUAGAUACCCUGGUAGUCCACGCCGUAAACGGUGGAUGCUGGAUGUGGGGCCCGUUCCACGGGUUCCGUGUCGGAGCUAACGCGUUAAGCAUCCCGCCUGGGGAGUACGGCCGCAAGGCUAAAACUCAAAGAAAUUGACGGGGGCCCGCACAAGCGGCGGAGCAUGCGGAUUAAUUCGAUGCAACGCGAAGAACCUUACCUGGGCUUGACAUGUUCCCGACAGCCGUAGAGAUAUGGCCUCCCUUCGGGGCGGGUUCACAGGUGGUGCAUGGUCGUCGUCAGCUCGUGUCGUGAGAUGUUGGGUUAAGUCCCGCAACGAGCGCAACCCUCGCCCUGUGUUGCCAGCACGUCAUGGUGGGAACUCACGGGGGACCGCCGGGGUCAACUCGGAGGAAGGUGGGGAUGACGUCAGAUCAUCAUGCCCCUUACGUCCAGGGCUUCACGCAUGCUACAAUGGCCGGUACAACGGGAUGCGACACGGCGACGUGGAGCGGAUCCCUGAAAACCGGUCUCAGUUCGGAUUGGAGUCUGCAACCCGACUCCAUGAAGGUGGAGUCGCUAGUAAUCGCGGAUCAGCAACGCCGCGGUGAAUGCGUUCCCGGGCCUUGUACACACCGCCCGUCAAGUCAUGAAAGUGGGUAGCACCCGAAGCCGGUGGCCUAACCCUUUGUGGAUGGAGCCGUCUAAGGUGAGACUCGUGAUUGGGACUAAGUCGUAACAAGGUAGCCGUACCGGAAGGUGCGGCUGGAUCACCUCCUUUCUACGGAG